rnacentral:rRNA from 1 species
UACAGAGGGGGCAAGCGUUGUUCGGAAUUACUGGGCGUAAAGGGCGCGUAGGCGGCCCGCUAAGUCGAACGUGAAAUCCCCGGGCUCAACCCGGGAACUGCGUCCGAUACUGGUGGGCUUGAAUCCGGGAGAGGGAUGCGGAAUUCCAGGUGUAGCGGUGAAAUGCGUAGAUAUCUGGAGGAACACCGGUGGCGAAGGCGGCAUCCUGGACCGGUAUUGACGCUGAGGCGCGAAAGCCAGGGGAGACAAAGCGGG